rfam:Schistosoma rodhaini strain Burundi genome assembly, scaffold: SROB_scaffold0012930
AUCUGGAUGACGAGUCCUAAAUAGGAUGAUACGUGCGUCCUAGAU